UCUCUGAACUCUUAAUUUUUUUUAUAUGAACUUUGAAAGCACUAGAACUGUCAAAUGUCAUAUAAGUGAGCAAAGCAAUUGUAAAUAUGACAACACCUUGUUAAAUGUAAUGGGAGUGGAACAAAAUUGUGGCAUUUAUAAAAAAUUCCUGACGCGCGACAGUUGGGUGGUGUUGUGUGUGUGCGUGCGUGUUGUUUUUGCAAUUUGAAUUAAAUAAAUUAAUAAAAUAAAAAUUCAAAAUAUAUACAAAAAAUUUAAGUAAAUUAUUUGUUACUAACAAAUAAAAACAAAGCAUUAGUUUAAGUGUCAAGUAUUUUUUAAACAAGAAAUAUAAAAAAUUAAAAAAAAAAAACAAAAAAAGACAAUUUUAUAUUGAAGUGCUUUUUUAAAUGCUGUACGUUUUUAUUUGUAUUGAAGACAUUUAAAAAAAGUUGGCAGAGCUACAAAUUUUAAAUCUUUUUAAAUC